UACGGAGGAUGCGAGCGUUAUCCGGAUUUAUUGGGUUUAAAGGGUGCGCAGGCGGCGUGUCAAGUCAGCGGUAAAAUGUCGGGGCUCAACCCCGGCCGGCCGUUGAAACUGGCGUGCUCGAGUUGGAGAGAAGUAUGCGGAAUUCGUGGUGUAGCGGUGAAAUGCAUAGAUAUCACGAAGAACCCCGAUUGCGAAGGCAGCAUACCGGCUCCACACUGGCGCUGAGGCACGAAAGCGUGGGUAUCGAACAGG
rnacentral:rRNA from 1 species